UACGUAGGUGACCAGCGUUGUCCGGAUUUACUGGGCGUAAAGAGCGCGCAGGCGGUCGUUCAAGUCGAGUGUGAAAGCCCCCGGCUCAACUGGGGAGGGUCACUCGAUACUGAUCGACUUGAAGGCAGGAGAGGGAAGCGGAAUUCCGGGUGUAGCGGUGGAAUGCGUAGAGAUCCGGAAGAACACCGGUGGCGAAGGCGGCCUGCUGGGCAGUGGCUGACGCUGAGGCGCGACAGCGUGGGGAGCAAACAGG
rnacentral:rRNA from 1 species